rnacentral:lncRNA from 1 species
AGAGUUUUGGCACCGCAGUUGUUAUUGCUUUUAUAGAUGAUGUAAAAAACGGAGCCAAAACGAUCACUUGAGCAUGAUUCGUGCAUAUUUUGAAAUUUCAAAAUCUACUUAAGCAAUAUACAUUUAAAACAACAUAAUUUUACACUGCUAAGAUAGAUUGGCACUAUUACGGACAUACUACAGUAUGUAGAUCAUUAGAGACCAUGACGCCUACUGCCUACAGUACUUCUCGAACUUGUCGUCACCAUCGUCGAGGUUGAUCAUCCCUGGUGGUGCGCCAGAGGGGCCUGCCUCAUGGUCAUUGCUGGUACAGGCUUCACAUCCUCCUCCUCCUCCUUUUAGAAUCCCACCCUCUUGAGCUCGUCGAACAUCUCAUCGACCUCGGUGAAAGUGUUGUGACCCAUCUCCUUGCCUUCCUUCUUCCUGCGCUCCUUGCAUCACUUGACGAAGAAUUAACGCGUCACCCCCUCGAGGUCCAGAUCAGCGUUGGUGAAGUUCGCCAUGUACAAUAUACCCAUGUCUUUGGCACUUUAAUGUGCCUCGCCUCGGCACUUCUCAUGGGAAACAAUUUAUACAGCAGGGAUGAAGAACUGUGCUCCUUGAAGUUGAGCUUGUAAUAGUACGAUAGUUUUCAUAAGCUGGUUAUUUCUUCUUUUUGUGAGGCUAAUAAGUCGGUUCUUAAAGUGUGGCAUCUUCCAAACAUUACACAUAUCCUAGUUAACAAUAGCACAAGUUAGCCCAUAGAGACCACUUAACUACAAAUUGUUAAAAAUUAAUAUUGUUGUUUGAUGAAUCGAUUGAAAACAAUAAAUCCAUCGGGCACCCCUCUUAGUCACUUGUGUCAUGAGGCACAGAAGUGAACGACAAAGUAAUUCAUUUACUAAUGCGGACUGACAAGCUGAUUGUGAGCAUGCAGAAUGAACGCCAAAAUUGUUGGCUUGCUAGGUGGCAAGUGUUUCCAGUAGGAACUGCACGUACUCAGAACAACAAUGAUGUUGGGCAAACGCAACUGCGCUUCCUUGUUGAUAUCGCCAAUUCCCUGAUGCCUACCGUGCCCAUCAACGUUAAACCACUCAUGCGUGCAGCUGGCAAUAUGAACAUAG